UACGAAGGGGGCUAGCGUUGCUCGGAAUCACUGGGCGUAAAGGGCGCGUAGGCGGCCUCCGCAAGUCAGUUGUGAAAUCUCCGAGCUUAACUCGGAAAGGUCAACUGAUACUGCGGGGCUAGAGUGCGGAAGGGGCUACUGGAAUUCUCGGUGUAGCGGUGAAAUGCGUAGAUAUCGAGAGGAACACCUGCGGCGAAGGCGGGUAGCUGGGCCGACACUGACGCUGAUGCGCGAAAGCCAGGGGAGCGAACGGG
rnacentral:rRNA from 1 species